UUCGUGUGUGUGUGCGUGUGUAUGCAAUGAUGAAAAGUCAGACGAAAGAGUGGGGCAAAAGGGGAGAACGAGAAAGAGAAAAGGAGGAGAGCAAAAGCAGUGGGCAGAGGGAAAACAGUUAUGCAGCUGUGCACAGUGGAGCCUCGGCAAAAUGAUUGACUCAGUUUUCAAUUCACGAUUCCCAAUUGCGCCCACAUUCGACACUAUCCUCUUUGUCAUGGAUUUUCUUCGUCUGUCUUCAUUUUUCUUUUUUAAACUCAAGUUUGUGUGAGCAAACGAAAAUAACAAACGCAGCAGAAACGAGCAAAGAGAACGACAAUGUUAAGAGGAGGAAGAAAAGAGGGGCCAAGAGAUAUAUGCAAAAUUUGUUUUUUUCGCCGAUUUCCAAUCGGUUUUUUUUUUCGAUUAUUUUUGAUCGUUGCGUGGGCAAGAAGAAGACCUGCUGUGCGAGAGGGAGGGAUAGCUAUUUGCACAAGUGUGCGUGUCAGGUUUUGUCUGUUGCGAGUGAGUUGUGUGUGUGUAAGCCAAUUGCGGUUUCUGGCUAGCCAAAACAAAAACAACAACAAUAAUAGAACAUCUAACAGCAAGCCAAGUGAAACACGUGUUUAAAAGUCAUAUUUACAGUUUUAAGUUUUUGAAUUCUAACAAACCAACACAAAAAAACUGAACUGAAAUAGAAAAGCAUAAGAACACGGUAAUAAGUCGGGAAAAUCAAAGUGCAAAACUGAACACAAAAACCCACAGAGUGCGAGCGAGAUAGGAAGAAAAAGAGAGCGCAUGCUGGGCGCCGCAGGAGUAGAAGAAGCAGUGAGAGUGAAGUUUACUGGAAGUGAAGUGAAAAGAGGAGAGCGAGAAGAGACCCAGCAAAAACAACAAAGAACAAUUAGGCGACUAGAAAUCUGUUGUCUUUUUAAUCUACCUCCAAACAUAAGAAAAAGAAAAAGGAAUUCUAAAAAGCACAAUAACUUAAUGUUUAUAAUAAAAAACUAAUAGUAAACCCAAAAAAGAGUGAAACGGGACAACGAGCUGCUGGAGAAACGCCAUCUACCGUGGGCAACGGAAAACAGCAGCUGACAGACGGAGACCGUAAAGGAGAGUGGCAAGCACGCAAAGGAAAAAAAUAAGCUUUAUUUGCCUGGAAGUUAGAAAGAGGGAUUUAACGGCGGGGGCGCUAGCUCCCUAAAACUCCCACAAAUAACACAAAAAUCUUCCGAUCGGACCAGGAAAUAUAAUCAUAUUAGCCAAGUAAACGACACAAAAAAAAGAACCUAGACCAUUUGUCUCUUGCGCUCGCCACAAGAUGGCGUGCCUUAACACCCUGAAGCAGGAAAUCAAGACUUUGGAGAAGAUCUUCCCAAAGAAUCACGAGCGCUUUCAGAUCCUUAAUUGCAGUGUCGAUGAACUGCUCUGCCGAUUUAUCGAUAAGAAUGGAAAGCGCUACGAUAUCCAUGCCAACAUAACGGAAACGUAUCCAUCGUCGCCACCAGUUUGGUUUGCCGAAAGUGAGGAGACGAGCGUCACAAAUGCAGUUCAAAUACUUAGCAAUACAAAUGGACGUGAUAAUCACGUGAUUAAUCAAGUGGGCAUACUGCUGCGUGAGCUAUGCCGACUUCACAACGUUCCACUGCCACCCGACAUCGAUAAUUUGGCCCUGCCGCUGCAAACGCCGCCGCCAUCUGCUUCUCCACUUCGCUGUGAGCAGAGAUCAGGAGGCGGUGGAGCGGGUGGCGGUGGGGGCCCUCACGGCAACGAGGAGACCGACUCGGAUCAAGAGGAGAUCGAAGAUCCCAUCGCAGAGAGCGAGCAGGAGAGCGAGGGCGACGAGGACUUGCCGCUGGAAAUGGAUGAUGUACGAAGUACAAACAAGAAGGACGACAUGGAAGUGGAACAUCUAGCAACUCUAGAAAGACUGCGUCAAAGUCAAAGACAAGACUAUCUAAAAGGUUCCGUUUCGGGUUCCGUGCAGGCAACCGAUCGAUUAAUGAAAGAAUUACGUGAUAUUUAUCGAUCGGACGCCUUCAAGAAGAAUAUGUAUUCAAUUGAACUCGUAAACGAAUCGAUUUACGAGUGGAACAUACGCCUCAAGUCUGUCGAUCCGGACAGUCCGCUGCACAGUGAUCUGUUAAUGCUCAAGGAAAAGGAGGGCAAGGACAGCAUACUACUAAAUAUUCUUUUCAAGGAGACGUAUCCCUUCGAACCGCCAUUUGUGCGCGUUGUUCAUCCGAUUAUCUCAGGCGGGUAUGUGCUCAUCGGCGGUGCCAUCUGCAUGGAAUUGCUGACCAAACAGGGCUGGAGCUCUGCCUACACCGUGGAGGCGGUAAUCAUGCAAAUUGCAGCUACCCUCGUCAAGGGAAAAGCGCGAAUUCAGUUUGGGGCCACUAAGGCACUGACCCAGGGCCAAUAUAGUUUGGCACGAGCCCAGCAGAGUUUCAAGUCGCUGGUGCAGAUUCACGAAAAGAAUGGCUGGUUCACACCGCCCAAAGAGGAUGGCUAAUUCAGAACAGUCCCCAGAUGCACAUCUUUUUUAGAAUAGCUCAUGCCACAACCAACACAAACCCAUCCAAGCGCCUACGGUCCGUCGGAAUUACCUUAUCCUCAACCGCCAAGCACACAUCCCACUCUAACAUUCAGUUUGAUAUGAUAUCUGAUCUGGUCAGGAACAAUUUGGACGGAGCUGCCGAACCCCAAGAAAAAGGCCCACAUCGUUGAUGUUUAAUUACACUUGAAAAACAAAAAAACAAGCACACCUUUGUAGUCGCUGUUAAUGUUCUGUUGCAAGUUAAUUCAUAUUGUCUAGAAAACUGGAGCUGAUUAGAAUGAAGCAGAGUUAGCAGAGAAAUACACAGCCGAAGAGUGUAAAAUGUGAAGGCAAUAUCUGUUAUGUAUAUGAGUAUAAUUUGUAAUUUAGAAAUGUAAAUGUAGUGGCUUGAAAACCUUUCAAACGAACACCACCCGCAACCCCUGCACACACUCCAAACACACACGCCUAAAAUGUAAACUAGUUAUAACGCCUAACUGUAUUCUUAUUUUAACUUAACGAAUCCGUGGUAUCUUAUAUUUUUCUCUUUACAAACAAAAAAAACGGCAAGUUGGCAAAAGUGUCGAUGUGUUGUCGAUCGUAAUAGAUAUAUAUACCUAUACAUACAUAUAAAUAUAAAUAUACAUAAAUAUAAAGGUAAAGAUAUAUAUUAAAAUUAGCGCGAAAGUUUAGCUUAAGCAGAAAAUACAGAACGAUGUGUCGAAGAUGAGCAAAUUCUAAGUGUAAAUUCGUCUUUCCAAAUAAUCGUAAAAUAAAGUAAACCUAAAUCUAAAUCUACAAAAAAAAAAUAAUUAAUGAAGAAGAGCUAAAAUAUAAAGCGAAAUCGAGAAGAUGAGGAACGCAAAAUAUUUGCAUUUGUAAUAUGCAUGAAAGUAAAAAAAACAACAAGUUAAUUCGAGGGCAACUGUUUUGCUGUCCAUAUUAUCAUGUUUUUUUUUAUUCGUACAACGGCAGAAAAAAUUUCAGUGUAUAUUUCAAAACGAAAAUUGGCAAGCACGACGAAAUGUUCAUUUUAAGUAUGUAUUUAAUAAAGAAGAUAUAUACAUGCAAAAAAAAA